rnacentral:rRNA from 1 species
GACGAACGCUGGCGGCGUGCUUAACACAUGCAAGUCGAACGGAAAGGCCCUGCUUUUGUGGGGUGCUCGAGUGGCGAACGGGUGAGUAACACGUGAGUAACCUGCCCUUGACUUUGGGAUAACUUCAGGAAACUGGGGCUAAUACCGGAUAGGAGCUCCUGCUGCAUGGGGGGGGUUGGAACGUUUCGGUGGUUGGGGAUGGACUCGCGGCUUAUCAGCUUGUUGGUGGGGUAGUGGCUUACCAAGGCUUUGACGGGUAGCCGGCCUGGGAGGGUGACCGCCCACAUUGGGACUGAGAUACGGCCCAGACUCCUACGGGAGGCAGCAGUGGGGAAUAUUGCACAAUGGGCGGAAGCCUGAUGCAGCAACGCCGCGUGCGUGAUGACGGCCUUCGUGUUGUAAACCGCUUUCGCCUGUGACGAAGCGUUAGUGACGGUAAUGGGUAAAGAAGCACCGGCUAACUACGUG